UACAGAGGUCUCAACCGUUGUUCGGAUUCAUUGGGCGUAAAGGGUGCGUAGGCGGCGGGGCAAGUCAGGUGUGAAAUCUCGGGGCUCAACCCCGAAACUGCACUUGAUACUGCCUUGCUCGAGUACUGGAGAGGAGACUGGAAUUUACGGUGUAGCAGUGAAAUGCGUAGAUAUCUGGAGGAACACCGGUGGCGAAGGCGGCAUCCUGGACCGGCAUUGACGCUGAGGCGCGAAAGCUAGGGGAGCAAACGGG
rnacentral:rRNA from 1 species